UGGGGAAUAUUGCACAAUGGGGGAAACCCUGAUGCAGCAACGCCGCGUGCGGGAUGACGGCCUUCGGGUUGUAAACCGCUUUCAGCCAUGACGAAGCUUUUGUGACGGUAGUGGCAGAAGAAGCACCGGCUAACUACGUGCCAGCAGCCGCGGUGAUACGUAGGGUGCGAGCGUUGUCCGGAAUUAUUGGGCGUAAAGAGCUUGUAGGCGGUUUGUCGCGUCGAAAGUGUAAACUCAGUGCUUAACGCUGAGCCUGCUUUCGAUACGGGCUGACUAGAGGAAGGUAGGGGAGAAUGGAAUUCCCGGUGGUGCGGUGGAAUGCGCAGAUAUCGGGAGGAACACCAGUGGCGAAGGCGGUUCUCUGGACCUUUCCUGACGCUGAGAAGCGAAAGCGUGGGUAGCAAACAGG
rnacentral:rRNA from 1 species